rnacentral:rRNA from 1 species
UACGUAGGGCGCAAGCGUUGUCCGGAAUUAUUGGGCGUAAAGAGCUCGUAGGCGGCUUGUCACGUCGGGUGUGAAAGCCCGGGGCUUAACCCCGGGUCUGCAUUCGAUACGGGCAGGCUAGAGUGUGGUAGGGGAGAUCGGAAUUCCUGGUGUAGCGGUGAAAUGCGCAGAUAUCAGGAGGAACACCGGUGGCGAAGGCGGAUCUCUGGGCCAUUACUGACGCUGAGGCGCGAAAGCGUGGGUAGCAAACAGG